rnacentral:rRNA from 1 species
UACGUAGGGUGCAAGCGUUAAUCGGAAUUACUGGGCGUAAAGCGUGCGCAGGCGGUGAUGUAAGACAGGUGUGAAAUCCCCGGGCUUAACCUGGGAACUGCAUUUGUGACUGCAUCGCUGGAGUGCGGCAGAGGGGGAUGGAAUUCCGCGUGUAGCAGUGAAAUGCGUAGAGAUUGGAAAGAACACCGAUGGCGAAGGCACUUUACUGGGCUAUUACUAACACUCAGAGACGAAAGCUAGGGUAGCAAAUGGG